AUGGGGUGAUGAUGCAGAAGAAUUUCGGCCAGAGAGAUGGCUGGACGAAAAUGGCCUUGUCCAGCAAGAAAGCUCUUUCAAACACAUAGUCUUCAGUGCAGGUCCAAGGAUUUGUGUGGGGAAGGAGUUUGCUUAUAGAGAGAUGAUGAU